CCUACGGGCGGCAGCAGUGAGGAAUAUUGGUCAAUGGGCGGGAGCCUGAACCAGCCAAGUCGCGUGAAGGAAGAAGGUACUUAGUAUUGUAAACUUCUUUUGUCGGGGAACAAAGGCGGAGACGCGUCUCCGGAUGAGUGUACCCGAAGAAAAAGCAUCGGCUAACUCCGUGCCAGCCGCCGCGGUAAUACGGAGGAUGCGAGCGUUAUCCGGAUUUAUGGGGUUUAAAGGGUGCGCAGGCGGGAGAUCAAGUCAGCGGUAAAAUGUCGGGGCUCAACCCCGGCCGGCCGUUGAAACUGGUUUUGUAGAGUUGGAGAGAAGUAUGCGGAAUUCGUGGUGUAGCGGUGAAAUGCAUAGAUAUCACGAAGAACUCCGAUUGCGAAGGCAGCAUACCGGCUCCAUACUGACGCUGAGGCACGAAAGCGUGGGGAUCGAACAGGAUUAGAUACCCUGGUAGUC
rnacentral:rRNA from 1 species